UGGGGAAUAUUGCACAAUGGGCGGAAGCCUGAUGCAGCGACGCCGCGUGAGGGAUGACGGCCUUCGGGUUGUAAACCUCUUUCAGUAGGGACGAAGCGUAAGUGACGGUACCUGCAGAAGAAGCACCGGCUAACUACGUGCCAGCAGCCGCGGUAAUACGUAGGGUGCGAGCGUUGUCCGGAAUUACUGGGCGUAAAGAGCUCGUAGGCGGUUUGUCACGUCGUCUGUGAAAUCCUAGGGCUUAACCCUGGACGUGCAGGCGAUACGGGCUGACUUGAGUACUACAGGGGAGACUGGAAUUUCUGGUGUAGCGGUGGAAUGCACAGAUAUCAGGAGGAACACCGAUGGCGAAGGCAGGUUACUGGGCAGUUACUGACGCUGAGGAGCGAAAGCAUGGGUAGCGAACAGG
rnacentral:rRNA from 1 species